rnacentral:lncRNA from 1 species
UAAAGCUUUCUUCGAUGGAGCUGAGCAGCCUCAGUCCCUUCAAAUGGGGCAAGUCUUUUGUCAAAGGAUGUUUUGCUCUGAAAUAGUCCAAAACAGGAGGACGGGCAUUCAGUCAAAGCAAGGAUUGCAGGAAAUGUCAGAUGUGUGAGCUGUUACCUCGUAGGGCUGAAACCCUUGGAAGGUCCUUGGCUGGAGAAAGGGAGUAGCUAUUGGAAGGUGACAUGGAUGCCUUCUUGGAGUUGCUCCCAAGUGGCCUUUAUCUGGGACAGAAAGAGGAAUAAUAACUGCAAGCAAAGAUACCACCCAAUUGGAUGGCCCUGUUGUGUGACAGCAACCUAUCGCUGAUUGAAGCAGGUAAUUAUGAUGCUGAACAUGGCUCAGAAAGUUACCCAUGCAGGCAUCUAGUGUAAUUUUAAAAUGAAGC